rnacentral:rRNA from 1 species
UACGUAGGUGGCAAGCGUUGUCCGGAAUUAUUGGGCGUAAAGCGCGCGCAGGCGGUCCUUUAAGUCUGAUGUGAAAGCCCACGGCUCAACCGUGGAGGGUCAUUGGAAACUGGGGGACUUGAGUGCAGAAGAGGAAAGCGGAAUUCCACGUGUAGCGGUGAAAUGCGUAGAGAUGUGGAGGAACACCAGUGGCGAAGGCGGCUUUCUGGUCUGUAACUGACGCUGAGGCGCGAAAGCGUGGGAAGCAAACAGG